rnacentral:rRNA from 1 species
ACUCAAAGGAAUAGACGGGGGCCCGCACAAGCGGCGGAGCAUGUUGCUUAAUUCGAUGCAACGCGAAGAACCUUACCUGGGUUGAACUACGCAGGAAAAGCUGCAGAGAUGUAGUGUCCGAAAGGGCCUGCGAUAGGUGGUGCAUGGCUGUCGUCAGCUCGUGUCGUGAGAUGUUGGGUUAAGUCCCGCAACGAGCGCAACCCUUAUCCCAUGUUGCCAGCGGGUUAUGCCGGGGACUCGUGGGAGACUGCCGGGGUCAACUCGGAGGAAGGUGGGGAUGACGUCAAGUCAGCAUGCCCCUUAUGUCCAGGGCUGCAAACAUGCUACAAUGGCCGGUACAAAGGGUCGCAAGCCCGCGAGGGUAAGCCAAUCCCAGAAAGCCGGUCUCAGUUCGGAUCGGAGUCGCUAGUAAUCCCGAAUCAGCAACGUCGGGGUGAAUACGUUCCCGGGCCUUGUACACACCGCCCGU